rnacentral:rRNA from 1 species
UACGGGGGGGGCAAGCGUUGUUCGGAAUUACUGGGCGUAAAGGGCUCGUAGGCGGCCAACUAAGUCAGACGUGAAAUCCCUCGGCUUAACCGGGGAACUGCAUCUGAUACUGGAUGGCUUGAGUUCGGGAGAGGGAUGCGGAAUUCCAGGUGUAGCGGUGAAAUGCGUAGAUAUCUGGAGGAACGCCGGCGGCGAAAGCGACUCUCUGGUCUGUAACUGACGCUGAGGUGCGAAAGCUAGGGUAGCAAACGGG